GAGUGAGAGCGCGCGAGCGAGAGCGAAAGCAAGCGAGGGAGAGUGAAUGAGAGCGACCACGAGAGAGAGAGCGCGCGAGCGAGAGAGCGCCAUUGCAGUGUUCCAAAAAAAAUAAAACGUACGUCACCCCAGACUACACUAAAGUGUAGCCCUGCCUAAUAGGGGUCGAAAUAAUGGAAGUGUUGUUCGCUGCACUGUUUGCAACAAUGACUUUUCUAUUGCCCAUGGUGGGUUAAGACUGUAAAAGACAUGUUGAGGAGAUGGACACACAGCCUAUAGAGGUGAGACGAAGCAGCACCUACUUCAUGGACCCUAUAUAGAUUACAGAGGAGGAGGUAUCUACUGUCCUGAGGCAAAUCCCCAAGUCCUGGCAAGGUGUACCCUUGGACCCUGCAGGAGCAACUAGCCACGUGGUGUGCCAACAACAACCUGGCCCUUAACACCCAGAAGAUCAAGGAGAUCACUGUGGACUUCAGACAUGCCAGGAGUCACACUCACGUCCCCAUCUACAUCAAUGGAACUGUAGUGGAGUAUGUAUCAAGCUUCAAAUUCCUUGGUGUCCACCUUUCCGAGGAUCUCACCUGGUCCCUGAACUUCUCCAUCCUGAUCAAAAAGGCGCAACAGUGCCUUUAUUUCCUGCGGAGCAUGAAGAAAGCUCACCUGUCCCAGGAUACUGACGGACUUUUACCGCUGUACCAUCGAGAGCAUACUCACCAACUGCAUCUCAGUGGGGUAUGACAACUGUCCCGUAUCGGACCGCAAAGCACUCCAGCAUGUAGUGAAAACUGCCCAGCAGAUUAUAGGCACCCAAUUGCCCACCAUCUACCAUAAACGCUGCCUGGGCAGGGCGAAAAGCAUUAUCAGGGAUGCAUCUCACCCUAACCAUGGACUUUUUACUCUCCUCCCAUCCGGUAGGCGCUACAGGAGCCUCUGCUCCCACACCAGCAGGCACAGGAAGAGCUUCUUCCCUGAGGCUGUGACACUGCUGAACCUCUCAUCACAGCGCUAAGCAGCAUUGCAUCCGUGUUGUACUGUCUCAGUACUUUUAUAUUUGUGUGCUGUAGCAAUUUUUUUAUUCGCAGUUAUUUUGUAAAUAACACUAUUCUUUGCA